AGCAGCCGCGGUAAUUCCAGCUCCAAUAGCGUAUAUUAAAGUUGUUGCAGUUAAAAAGCUCGUAGUUGAAUUUCGGGAUCAAUACGUCGGUCGUGCUUUCGGGUACGUACUGGCGUCAUUGGUUUCUCCUUUCUGACGAACCAUGAUGUCAUUAAUUUGGUGUUAUGGGGAGUUAGGACUGUUACUUUGAAAAAUUAGAGUGUUUAAAGCAAGCUAACGCUUGAAUACAUUAGCAUGGAAUAAUGAAAUAGGACGUUCGAUCCUAUUUUGUUGGUUUCUAGGAUUGACGUAAUGAUUAAUAGGGAUAGUUGGGGGCAUUAGUAUUCAAUUGUCAGAGGUGAAAUUCUUGGAUUUAUUGAAGACUAACUACUGCGAAAGCAUUUGCCAAGGAUGUUUUCAUUAAUCAAGAACGAAAGUUAGGGGAUCGAAGACGAUCAGAUACCGUCGUAGUCUUAACCAUAAACUAUGCCGACUAGGGAUCGGAUGAUGUUAAUUUUUUAAUGUACUCAUUCGGCGCCUU
rnacentral:rRNA from 1 species